GAUGAACGCUGGCGGCGUGCCUAAUACAUGCAAGUCGAGCGAACGGACGCGAAGCUUGCUUUUCUGAUGUUAGCGGCGGACGGGUGAGUAACAUGUGGAUAACCUACCUAUAAGACUGGGAUCACCUCGGGAAACCGGAGCUAAUACCGGAUAAUAUUUUGAACCGCAUGGUUCAAAAGUGAAAGACGGUCUUGCUGUCACUUAUAGAUGGAUCCGCGCUGCAUUAGCUAGUUGGUAAGGUAACGGCUUACCAAGGCAACGAUGCAUAGCCGACCUGAGAGAGUGAUCGGCCGCACUGGAACUGAGACACGGUCCAGACUCCUACGGGAGGCAGCAGUAGGGAAUCUUACGCAAUGGGCGAAAGCCUGACGGAGCAACGCCACGUGAGUGAUGAAGGUCUUCGGAUCGUAAAACUCUGUUAUUAGGGGAGAACAUAUGUGUAAGUAACUGUGCACAUCUUGACGGUACCUAAUCAGAAAGCCACGGCUAACUACGUG
rnacentral:rRNA from 1 species